CAAGAAAGUAGAAACACAAACGGCGCUCGUCCUCGUCUCGUCUGUUGCUCGUCCUCGUCCUCGUCUCGAUUGUAAUAGAAGAUCAAAACCCAGACGACCUCCCUCAAAGUCUCACUCUCUCAGUCUCCUUCGAUUUGUCUGAGUGUAGUUCAGCGAACACAGCUGCAACCAGCAACCUGUCUCCGCCAGUCCGCCUCUCCAGUCUCCGAGCUCCACCUUUAGGCUCUAGGAUGAUGCCAUUAUGGGGUUGGAGUACAUUCCAACUAUAGAGGAAAUGGAGUCAUAUGAACAGAUUGAAGUUGACCAUGAAAAAAGGAUAGAGAGAAUGAUAAGAAGAGCAAGAACACUAUUGCUGCUGCAUCUGCACCUAGUGGCAGAGUAACCAAGAGUUCUGAGGCUUUGGCUUCAGCCCCUACAACCAAGAAGAAAAAGUAGAAAAAAUGAUUCAAUUCACUCAAUAAUCAAGGCUGCAUAAAGAUUUAGUAUUGACGGAAGGCUGGAAGCAUUGUUGGCUUGUUGCAUUGAGGAAGAGGAAGCUUUGCUGGAAAUAUGUUUGCAGUUGUGCACUUUGAUGAAAUAUUCAUGGACUAUUUCAAUUUUAGGUUAUUUGUUUCAUUUUGAGACUUUGAAUUGCUCAGUUUCAGACUUUCAGUAUUUUAGUUUGCUGCAAAUUGAUGCAGCUGCAUUGUUCAAAUUGGACAGUUUAUUGUUUAUUUUUAUUUGCUGCAUGUGAGACUUUGAGUUUGCAGUUUAUGCAUGUGAAACUUUGAGUUUGUAGUUGUAUUGCUGGAAAUGUGUAUUAUUGCAGACUUUGAGUUUGUAGUUGUAUUGCUGGAAAGUGCUUGAGUGUUUGUGUUUGAUAGUUUGAGAGUUUUGAUU